UUAUAGGAUGACGCAGGCAGUACGGUAUUCUUCUUUUUAUCUAAUCGUUUAAACACUUCCAUAGACAACACCGUCUCUGCUUUAUUUACCAAGUACCUACAUCGAUUAAAGAUCCAUAUCAGUGUCGGGGCGACGAAAUCGAUUCAUUGUUGGACCAAUCUAACUAUAGAUGUAUAUGGUGAACCACUAUAUAAGUAUAUUUUCUCUCUUGGUUGCCCACAAAAUUUUUUAGCUACUUACUUGGUAUCUUGUUGCGGAGCACUAUUUAACAUAUGGAGAACAAAGGGCCAUCAGGAGAUGCGCCUCCUUCAUAUUCCGCAAUAGUAGCACCAGAUACGCAAUCUUUUUAUCCUCAAAUUUUACCUUACGCAUUUGGGGGUUAUCCAUAUGAAGAUGGUGCGUUGUCCUAUCACUUAGCUGGAGCUCAACAGGUUUCGAAUGCCCAUCAGGUUGUAUAUGUAUCACCACUUGUACAUCAACAGUCAACAAUUCCAGCUUUAAGGGUAACACCACCGCACAAUGGGCCAAUUAUACAGGCCGGACAUAAACGUAGUCGUGGAUCUAUUGCUAUUGCAGUAGCAUUGUCUGUUGGUUUCAUUAUUUUUAUGUUGGUGUUUAUUACGAUUAACGUAUGAUAAAGUUAAAAACGUGAGUGUUUGAUGGUUUAAGUGUAACAAAAAUAGCUUUUAAGUUAUACCAAUGUUGCGUUUUUGCAUAUUAUAUGUAUCUGCUUGUCCAUCUUAAUUUCUCAGGUAUUGCUUGUCAAUCAAGAGCUGAUAAAAGCGACCCAUUAAUCGCUUGA